CAGCAGCAGCCGCGGUAACACGAAGGGUGCAAGCGUUAAUCGGAAUUACUGGGCGUAAAGCGUGCGUAGGCGGUGAGUUAAGUCUGCUGUGAAAUCCCCGGGCUCAACCUGGGAAUGGCAGUGGAUACUGGCUCGCUAGAGUGUGUCAGAGGAUGGUGGAAUUCCCGGUGUAGCGGUGAAAUGCGUAGAGAUCGGGAGGAACAUCAGUGGCGAAGGCGGCCAUCUGGGACAACACUGACGCUGAGGCACGAAAGCGUGGGGAGCAAACAGGAUUAGAUACCCCAGUAGUCCCUGUCUCUUAUAC
rnacentral:rRNA from 1 species